rnacentral:tRNA from 1 species
AGCUCAGACUGGCAGAGCGCUGCGUUUGGGACGCAGAGGCCGGAGGUUCAAAUCCUCUC